rnacentral:piRNA from 1 species
UCACGACCCUGUGUCAUAGCCUCAUCCAUC